rnacentral:rRNA from 1 species
CGCCUCUUGUUAAUAUAUAAGAGGUCCUGCCUGCCCAGUGAUUAAUUUAACGGCCGCGGUACACUAACCGUGCAAAGGUAGCAUAAUCAAUUGUCCUUUAAAUAGGGACUAGCAUGAAUGGCACCACGAGGGUUUAACUGUCUCCCCAUUUUAAUCAAUGAAAUUAAUCUUCCCGUGAAGAAGCGGGAAUAAAACUAUAAGACGAAAAGACCCUAUGAAGCUUUAAACUUAUUAACACUUAUCUUAACCAUAUAACAACUCACACGAUAAGACUGUUUAAAUAGUUUUCGGUUGGGGCGACCCUGGAGAAAAGUAAAUCCUCCAGAUUGAAAGAAAUAACCCUUAUACAAGAACCACAAUUCAAAUAAACAAAAAUUUGACAAAACUGACCCAGAAUUUACUGAUCAGCGAACCAAGUUACUCUAGGGAUAACAGCGCAAUCUAUUUUAAGAGCUCCUAUCGACAAAUGGGUUUACGACCUCGAUGUUGGAUCAGGGUAUCCUAGCAGCGCAGCAGUUGCUAAAGGUUCGUUUGUUCAACGAUUAAUACCUU